GGUCCCGUAGUUCAGUUGAAUAGAACGUCAGAUUCCGGUUCUGAAGGUCGUGGGUUUGAAUCCCGCCGGGAUCA
rnacentral:tRNA from 2 species